AUCCCCCACUUCUAUUGGUUAAUUUCAAAACACGUCACAGUCAGUGUAUACAUAAACUUCUGCCUCCUCCGCAGGCCCUUUUGUUGGAAACAAUCCAGUGCAAUUGCAAUCUAUAUAGAUCAGUGGCUGUGAUAAGUUACCGGGCAAUGCAUGAUGGGAAAAGAAUUUUUUUCUCGUUUUCCUCUCCCCCUUUGAAAGCGACUGGGGACGAGGCAGCAUUAACUUAGCAUUUUUGUAAUUGAACCACACACUGCUAAAAGGAACUUAGAGCUUGAACAUUGGUUAUACUUACAGCUAUAAAAGUGAACUUACAAUGAUCCUUUUUGGCCGUAGACACGAGAUAUGUCAAUUGUUGAUGGCGUUUUUACUGUGCAUGCCGUUAGCAGGUCAAAGUACAACAUCUUCACCAAGUAUCAUGACAACCAUGUCUUCUAGCAAUUGCUCUAAUGCAGACAGCAACACGACAACGUCGCCUACGGAGGUAGGAU